GAAAUUUUAGCUUAUGAUUUCUACUUCAAAUAUAUUUUUGGAAUAAAAAUAUAUUAUAGAAAUAGAAAAAUGAAAUUGCGUUACUAAAUAGAAUUCUAUUCAAACCUAUUCUAGGGAAUAGAAAAAUAAAGAAAUAAAAAAAUAGAAAUUUUGUCAUGUGUAUCCUUGGACAUUUACGUUGCUCCAAAAUAUAAGUUUUGUACACUUGGCAAUGGUCAUGUCCUGAAAUUUGAUUUGAUUCCAAUAUGAGAUUAGCAAUCUUGGGAUUAUAUUUAUAACGUAGAGGUGCAUAUCUUCGAGUUACGACUAUAAAAGUUAACAUGGAGUAUUCAAGUGGAGAAACGUCUAGAGUAUUGAAAGAUUAAAUGAUCAGAUGAGAAUUUGCAUCACACUUCAUUAACUCUUCCUUUUCCUCCCACUGCCCACAAUAAAUAUCAGUAUAGCUCCAUCGCCAUCAAUAUCAUUAUUCCCCCCAUUACAGUUUUUGAUAAACAUAGCAUCAGUUCAUCAAUUAGUUUAUUAUAAUAAAAGUUCCAUCUCAAUCAGACUGGAAAUUUUAACAUCUAUGAUUAAGUGUUAAAGGAAAAUUGAGGAAACAAGGAUCUUUGCAAGCAGCUACCUCACCUUUUCUACUUGUUUAUUUUUGUUAAAAUAUUUAAAUAAUAAAUCACAUAUUCAUUAAACAACUAAAGCUUUUAACACAGUUAGUAAUGAUUUCACAAAAUCUUACAUGAUGUUAGAACUAAGAAUCUUGAGUUCAAAUUUUUUCAUGCCUCAUUUGCCUCAUCAAUUAAAUGUUUCCACGUUUAGUAUUAAGCAAAAAAAAAAAAAAAAACUUUAGUGCGAGGGGUUCGUUUUUCUCCGAAGGAAAAAGCAAGAAAAUGCAAACCCGCGAAAUUUAAUUGGGCCCUUUUCAGUCAAGAAUGGCCAAUGAGAUAAUGUUCGGGACUCGCACUUGGGCCCAAAUUGCCAUUUUCAGAUUCACAGUCCAGAGGCAGGUUCUUUUCGACAUUUGGUAAUGGAAUUUUCCGUCCCCUAUCAAGGAAUUCAUUCUUUUCCAGUCCCCC
rnacentral:lncRNA from 1 species